UACUACCUAGCCUUAUCUAUUGGGAU
rnacentral:piRNA from 1 species